GGUAUUUUGACCGUGCAAAGGUAGCAUAAUCAUUAGUUUUUUAAUUGAAAGCUAGAAUGAAUGGUUGGAUGAGAAAAUAAUUGUCUCUAUUUAAAUUGAUUAGAAUUUUAUUUUUAAGUAAAAAAGCUUAAAUUUAAUUAGUAGACGAGAAGACCCUAUAGAGUUUAAUUAAUUUAUUUAUUAAAGUUUUUAGUAUUUAUUUUUUUAUUAAAAUAUAUUAAUUUAGUUGGGGUGAUUAAAAAAUUUAUAGAACUUUUUUUUUAUUUUUACAUUAAUUUUUGAUUUAUUGAUCCUUAUUUAAAGAUUAAAAGAUUAAAUUACCUUAGGGAUAACAGCGUAAUUUUUUUAGAGAGUUCAAAUCGAAAAGAAAGAUUGCGACCUCGAUGUUGGAUUAAAAUAAAAUUUUGGUGUAGAAGCUAGAG
rnacentral:rRNA from 1 species